rnacentral:rRNA from 1 species
CCCUACGGGGCGCAGCAGUAGGGAAUCUUCCACAAUGGGCGAAAGCCUGGUGGAGCAACGCCGCGUGGGUGAAGAAGGUCCUCGGAUCGUAAAACCCUGUUGUUAGAGAAGAAAGUGCGUGAGAGUAACUGUUCACGUUUCGACGGUAUCUAACCAGAAAGCCACGGCUAACUACGUGCCAGCAGCCGCGGUAAUACGUAGGUGGCAAGUGUUAUCCGGAUUUAUUGGGCGUAAAGGGAACGCAGGCGGUCUUUUAAGCCUGAUGUGAAAGCCUUCGGCUUAACCGGAGUAGUGCAUUGGAAACU